rnacentral:rRNA from 1 species
GAUGAACGCUGGCGGCGUGCCUAAUACAUGCAAGUCGAGCGAACGGACGAGAAGCUUGCUUCUCUGAUGUUACCGGCGGACGGGUGAGUAACACGUGGAUAACCUACCUAUAAUACUGGGAUAACUUCGGGAAACCGGAGCUAAUACCGUAUAAUAUUUUGAACCGCAUGGUUCAAAAGUGAAAGACGGUCUUGCUGUCACUUAUAGAUGGAUCCGCGCUGCAUUAGCUAGUUGGUAAGGUAACGGCUUACCAAGGCAACGAUGCAUAGCCGACCUGAGAGGGUGAUCGGCCACACUGGAACUGAGACACCGACAAGACUCCUAAGGGAGGCACCAGACGGGAAUCUUACGCAAUGGGCGAAAGCCUGACGGAGCAACGCCGCGUGAGUGAUGAAGGUCUUCGGAUCGUAAAACUCUGUUAUUAGGGAAGAACAUAUGUGUAAGUAACUGUGCACAUAUUGACGGUACCUAAUCAGAAAGCAACGGCUAACUACGUG